rnacentral:rRNA from 1 species
CUGCCAGUAGUCAUAUGCUUGUCUCAAAGAUUAAGCCAUGCAUGUCUCAGUACAAGCCAAAUUAAGGUAAACCGCGAAAGGCUCAUUAAUCAGUUAUGGUUCCUUAGAUCGUACCCACAAUUACUUGGAUAACUGUGGUAAUUCUAGAGCUAAUACAUGCAAACAGAGCUCCGACCGGAGACGGAAGGAGUGCUUUUCUUAGAUCAAAACCAAUCGGUGGCGAGUUCGCUCGUCAUCGUACAACUUGGUGACUCUGAAUAACUUUACGCUGAUCGCACGGUCUCGCACCGGCGACGCAUCUUUCAAAUGUCUGCCUUAUCAACUGUCGAUGGUAGGUUCUGCGCCUACCAUGGUUGUAACGGGUAACGGGGAAUCAGGGUUCGAUUCCGGAGAGGGAGCCUGAGAAACGGCUACCACAUCCAAGGAAGGCAGCAGGCGCGCAAAUUACCCACUCCCGGCACGGGGAGGUAGUGACGAAAAAUAACGAUACGGGACUCAUCCGAGGCCCCGUAAUCGGAAUGAGUACACUCUAAACCCUUUAACGAGGAUCAAUUGGAGGGCAAGUCUGGUGCCAGCAGCCGCGGUAAUUCCAGCUCCAAUAGCGUAUAUUAAAGU